rnacentral:tRNA from 1 species
GAAGGCAUAGCUCCGUGGUAGAGCACAUGCUUAGCAAGCACGAGGUCCUGGGUUCAAUCUCCAGUAACUCUC